GGGCCCUAACAACACAGAGACAAAUAUAAUCUUGUACAUUUUAGCACUCAAUAAAUGUCAUGGUAAUGGAAUAGGGAGGAGAGCUACAGAUGUUCAAUUUUUCCAAAGCAGAGAUAUUCAAGAGCUAUACUGUGAGAACUCAGCCAGAAUAAAAAGUAAUUGUUUGGGAACUUGUUGGGGAACAUUAAUCAGAGCCAACUGAGGCACAAGUCUGUAAAGCUCCCUAGAAAACACAGAAAUUGAACUGGGAUUUGUUUGCACAAGAGAGCAGGUUUUGAGGAUAUCACAAAUUAUCUUUAGAAAGACUUAAAGCUUUAUGUUUCCCCUUUACCCUUCAACAAUUCUUGGAAAACUGUCUCCUUUCAGAGGUAGAGGUGUUAUUUAUUCCUGGAUUCUCAGUGGAAAAUAAAUGGUAUUAGUAGGCAUGGUGAAGAAAGAAGCAUAUGGCUUCUCGAUUACUUGAUUGCCACACUGUGAUGUCAGUGAUCUUGCCAUAGUUUUUUGGUUUUGAUAGCUAGGUUUAUCCCAUAGCUCCUCAAAUCCAUGCCUAGAUUGUGACCAUUCUUAACCAGGUCAUGUAGCUAGCACAUGGUAAAGAAUUAUUUUGUGUCAUCUAGAAUGUAAAAUUUGAACUAUUCUGUAGAGGUUUCCAGGAAACGUUUUACGAUAAAUGUAAGAAAGAAGUCUCUAAGGAGUCUUAGAGUUUUAUGUAGUUGACAUGACCUGUCUAGUGAAAUAGUUGACUCCAUGUUAUCAGAGUUAUUCAUGAAGAAGCCGGAAUAUCUACUUGCCAGGAAGUGACAGAAAUUUCUUGCAUUUAGUAAGAAGGUUGUUAGAGGACACCUAAGGCUUUGUCAAAUCUUGCUUCCUAAUUGUGGGGCUACAUGGUGGUGCUUAGAGUGGGAUAAGUGGAAAGAGGCCUAGUGCUUACUUAAAAGAGCUGUGGUAUAGACUGAUUGCUCACACCAACAAAAUAAACAAACCUACGCAAUGUUUAUAAAACUAUGUAGUUCAGAAUUCAAGGAAGUUGUCCAAAUUUCAAGACCCAGACAGUUAAGCUCAGGAGCUUAACUUACAAAGCCAAGAAAGAAUUUAAAAAUCACGUCAAAUCCAGAAACAGGAGGAAGAAAAAAAGCUGGUGUUAUCAUUUACAGACAAAUUCUAACAGAGGAGCAGGCCAUAAAACCUUGGGAAAAAACAUUUUAAAGUGUCCAGCUGCCUCUGGUUUAUGUGAAGAAAGAAGAUGAAAAAUGAGAGGGCAGGAUCGGUAACCACUUUACCUACAAUGGUUAGAGAAGGCGAGAAUUGGAAUCUGAAUGCUAAGAAGAGGCAGCUAAGAGAAGAUCUGAAAAUCAAACAUUUCUAACAGAAGGCACAGAAAGGGUUCCCAGGAAUCUCAAGAAGUAUCAAAGAACUGAGACUUACCAGAUCACCACACCCAGAUAAUGAGCUGCCGACCCCUCAUUCAUCGUGACUGCUUCCUUGCCCCUUCCCAGUUCCUGCUUUCUUAUACAUUGUUACAUUUCUUCCCUGCUGUCUAAACUCUUACUUUUGGUGGGUCAGGAGAUGGAUUAGAGACUGAUCUCCCAUCUCCUGGGCUGCAGCACCCAAUUAAAGCCUUCUUCCUUGGCAAUACUCGUCAUUUCAGUGACUGGCUUCCUGUUCAGCGAGAAGCAGGAACUAGACCAAACAUGUUUUGGUAACACAAGGACCACUUCGUGUAGGGUUAUGUGGAGUUUGUUAAGAAAUUUGGAUUUUAUUUUGUUUCUAAAGAAAGCCACAGACUUUUUGACAUGAACAACUAUCAGUGAGAAGAUAGUAUAGACAGGAGGAAACAAACUCUUUCUACCUCAGACCAUCAUGGGACAGACAGAGACAGCUGAAACAAGAGACUCAGUCAUAUUUCCAGGAGAAUAAAUGCGGUUAGGAUUUUGAAUUAUA